rnacentral:ncRNA from 1 species
CAGAGUAGGAACAGCGCGUCAAGUGCCGCAGGAUGGGAAGUUGUCUGCGGACGAAGGUGCCUUGUGAGCGCCGCGUUGCUGUCUCCGCAUCCGCUGC